rnacentral:rRNA from 1 species
GAACGGGUGAGUAACACGUGGGUGAUCUGCCUUGCACUCUGGGAUAAGCUUGGGAAACUGGGUCUAAUACCGGAUAGGAACCGUCUUUAGUGUGGUGGUUGGAAAGUUUUUUCGGUGCAAGAUGAGCUCGCGGCCUAUCAGCUUGUUGGUGGGGUAAUGGCCUACCAAGGCGUCGACGGGUAGCCGGCCUGAGAGGGUGUACGGCCACAUUGGGACUGAGAUACGGCCCAG